rnacentral:rRNA from 1 species
GAUGAACGCUGACAGAAUGCUUAACACAUGCAAGUCUACUUGAAUUUGGGUUUUUUAACUUAGAUUUGGGUGGCGGACGGGUGAGUAACGCGUAAAGAACUUGCCUCACAGCUAGGGACAACAUUUGGAAACGAAUGCUAAUACCUGAUACUAUGAUUAUAAGGCAUCUUAGAAUUAUGAAAGCUAUAUGCGCUGUGAGAGAGCUUUGCGUCCCAUUAGCUAGUUGGAGAGGUAACGGCUCACCAAGGCGAUGAUGGGUAGCCGGCCUGAGAGGGUGAACGGCCACAAGGGGACUGAGACACGGCCCUUACUCCUACGGGAGGCAGCAGUGGGGAAUAUUGGACAAUGGACCAAGAGUCUGAUCCAGCAAUUCUGUGUGCACGAUGACGUUUUUCGGAAUGUAAAGUGCUUUCAGUUGGGAAGAAAAAAAUGACGGUACCAACAGAAGAAGUGACGGCUAAAUACGUG